UCUGGGUUUACAAUGAAGAUCAUGAGCUGAUUUUAAAUAAUCUCCUUUGCUUGGACGUUUCGGAAACUCGCUCCUCCGACCCUCCUCGUCUCAUGAAAUGCCACGGGUCUGGUGGCUCGCAGCAGUGGACAUUCGGGAAAAACAACCGCCUCUACCAGGUCUCCGUGGGGCAGUGCAUGAAGGUGGUAGACCCACUUAGCCACAAAGGGUACGUGACCAUGGCCAUCUGUGAUGGGUCCCUUCCUCAGCAGUGGCACUUUGAGAGCUGAGCCAGCGAGGAUACGGCUGAGAAGUGUGAAGCCGAGACCCGAUUCCCCUUCAGCCAUGAUUUUUGGUCAUUCUGGAGGGCUUUGUGAGGAGCCCAGAGCUGCUACCCCCAGCCCACCCAUUGCACGGACCCUGUAGAAAUACUCUGCCCUGAAGAGCUGUGUGCAUGAGAAGGUCCAGGUGGCCACCACAGUGUCCCUGGUCGGGUGCUGCAGCAAUAGCGGCAGCCCCACUGCAGAACAACAUGUAGAAGUGCAAUUUAUCAGCGGUUCCUUGGAUUCUCCUGGAGUAUUGAACUGUUUUUAAGUAAGAGAAAUUAUUAGAGCAACGUAAUUUAAAUUGUGAGAUUUUAGCUUUGUGAUUCUUUUAAAUGACAAUGACAGAAAGGAGCCCUCUUCAAGUAUUUCAUGUGCAGUAUCUCAUUAAUUUACGUUUUUAGUAUGGUUUUACUGGCCAAAUUCUUUUACUUUUUCUGGAAAAUAUUUUUAUUCCCUUUUUUCUUCUGAAAAUUGUCGUUUGUAAUAUUUAAAUUUAGCUCUUUUAAUUUACGGUUUUAGGCCAUUUCACGUAGUUUAAAUUCUUAGCUGUCAUUCGUCACCUCAUAUUUAAAAGAAAGUAACUAUUACAAAGUCUAUUUUGAUGACUCAUGGCAGUAGCUGCAUUUAAAAUAAAGUAUCAUUUUUUUAUGAACCUG